CUAUGGCUCAAGUCAUGUAAACACACUAUAAUCCAGGCUAUAAAGGGUACAUUUGCAUUUUUAUAUCUCUUGAUCUGUUUGACUAGAGUGAUGAAAUGUGGCACAUAUGCUAAAAGAUAUGAGUCUAGCUUACAUGUAAAAUAUGGUUUCAUUUGGCUACAUUGUGGCGCUGUUGACAAGGAAAAAACGUUAAUGCAAGCUCAUUGGCUCGUAGAGGCCAUAUUGUUUCAGCAAACGCUUUGAAAAAGAUGUGCAUUAAUUUAUGCAUAUUUCAAAUUUGGUUCAGACCGGUCCAGCGGUUCUGGAGAAGAAGACGUUUAAAGAAAAAAUCUAAAAUACAGCUGUAGGCACACAGACCCGUGUCUGUGUAUAUACAGUGCCUUAAUCGGUAUCAGCUUUUUUUUGGUCCUCCAAUAAUCGGUAUCGGUAUCGGCGUUGAAAAAUCAUAAUCUGUCGACCUCUAGUGUUGAUACAGACUUGAUCUUCUCAAUCACGUAAGACACAUUUGACAGAAGUACUGAACGUAACAACCAAACAAUUUUUUAAAUAUAAAUAUAUAUAUAUAAUAAUGAAGAUUACAACAAUACUGAAUGAACACUUUUAGUUUAACUUAAUAUAAUACCUCAAUAAAAACAAUUGUCUCAAAUAAAUAAUGAAACAUGUUCAAUUUUGUUUAAAUAAUGCAAAAACAAAGUGUUAAAGAAGAAAGUAAAAGUGCAAUAUGUGCCAUGUAAAAAAGCUAACGUUUAAGUUCCUUGCUUAGAACAUGAGAACAUAUGAAAGCUGGUGGUUCCUUUUAACAUGGAUCUUCAAUAUUCCCAGGUAAGAAGUUUUAGGUUGUAGUUAUUAUAGGAAUUUUAGGACUAUUUCUCUCAAUACCAUUUGUAUUUCAUAUACCUUUGAUGUCAUGUACUGUCAUGUUGUGUCUUGUCUCUGUCCUUUCCCUUCACCCUGUCUCCCUCUGCUGGUCGUUGUUAGGUUACCUUUUCUCCCCCGCUUUCCCCCAGCUGUUCCUUGUCUCCUCUUGACUACCUCGUCACCCCUUCUCCCACCUGUUCCCCUUUUCCCUCUGAUUAGUCCCCUAUAUCUCUCUCUGUUUUUGUUCCUGUCCUUGUCGGAUUCUUGUUUGUUGUGUUUCAUGCCUGAGCCAGACUAUCGUCAUGUUUGCUGUAACCUUGUCCUGUCGGAAUCUGCCGGUCUCCUUGUCGGAUUCUUGUUUGUUGUGUUUCAUGCCUGAGCCAGACUAUCGUCAUGUUUGCUGUAACCUUGUCCUGUCGGAAUCUGCCGGUCUAUCUGAGCCUACCUAUGUUUGGUUAUUAAAGAAGCUCUGUUUAAGUUAGUUCGCUUUUGGGUCCUCAUUCACGCACCUAACAUUUGACUAUUGGAUGUUCUUAUAGGCACUAUAGUAUUGUCAGCCUAAUCUCGGGAGUGCAAUGUUUUACUUUAUUUUUUUAUUUCACCUUUAUUUAACCAGGUAGGCUAGUUGAGAACAAGUUCUCAUUUGCAACUGCGACCUGGCCAAGAUAAAGCAUAGCAGUGUGAACAGACAACAACACAGUUACACAUGGAGUAAACAAUAAACAAGUCAAUAACAUAGUAGAAAAAAAAGAAUCUAUAUACAUUGUGUGCAAAAGGCAUGAGGAGGUAGGCAAUAAAUAGGCCAUAGGAGUGAAUAAUUACAAUGAUAAAUGAUCAGAUGAAUAUGUGCAGGUAGAGGUACUGGUGUGCAAAAGAGCAGAAAAGUAAAUAAAAUAAAAACAGUAUAAGGUAGGUAAAUUGGGUGGGCUAUAUACCGAUGUACUAUGUACAGCUGCAGCGAUCGGUUAGCUGCUCAGAUAGCAGAUGUUUAAAGUUGGUGAGGGAGAUAAAAGUCUCCAACUUCAGAGAUUUUUGCAAUUCGUUCCAGUCGCAGGCAGCAGAGAACUGGAAGGAAAGGCGGCCAAAUGAGGUGUUGGCUUUAGGGAUGAUUAGUGAGAUACACCUGCUGGAGUGCGUGCUACGGCUGGGUGUUGCCAUCGUGACCAGUGAACUGAGAUAAGGUGGAGCUUUACCUAGCAUAGACUUGUAGAUGACCUGGAGCCAGAGGGUCUGGACAACUAGAGCAUACAGGUCGCAGUGGUGGGUGGUAUAAGGUGCUGUAGUAACAAAACGGAUGGCACUGUGAUAAACUGCAUCCAGUUGGCUGAGUAGAGUAUUGGAAGUUAUUUUGUAGAUGACAUCGCCGAAGUCGAGGAUCGGUAGGAUAGUCAGUUUUACUAGGGUAAGUUUUGCGGCGUGAGUGAAGGAGGCUUUGUUGUGAAAUAGAAAGCCGACUCUAGAUUUGAUUUUGGAUUGGAGAUGUUUGAUAUGAGUCUGGAAGGAGAGUUUUCAGUCUAGCCAUACACCUAGGUACUUAUUGAUGUCCACAUAUUCUAGGUCGGAACCAUCCAGGGUGGUGAUGCUAAUCGGGCGUGCGGGUGCAGGCAGCGAACGGUUGAAAAGCAUGCAUUUGGUUUUACUAGCGUUUAAGAGCAGUUGGAGGCCACGGAAGGAGUGUUGUAUGGCAUUGAAGCUCGUUUGGAGGUUAGAUAGCAUAGUGUCCAAGGAAGGGCCAGAAGUAUACAGAAUGGUGUCGUCUGCGUAGAGGUGGAUUAGGGAAUCGCCCGCAGCAAGAGCAACAUCAUUGAUAUAUACAGAGAAAAGAGUCGGCCUGAGAUUUGAACCCUGUGGUACCCCCAUAGAGACUGCCAGAGGACCGGACAACAUGCCCUCCGAUUUGACACACUGAACUCUGUCUGCAAAGUAGUUGGUGAACCAGGCAAGGCAGUCAUUAGAAAAACCGAGGCUACUGAGUCUGCCGAUAAGAAUAUGAUGAUUGACUGAGUCGAAAGACUUGGCCAGGUCGAUGAAGACGGCUGCACAGUACUGUAUUUUAUUGAUGGCAGUUAUAAUAUCGUUUAGUAUCUUGAGCGUGGCUGAGGUGCACCAGUGCCCGGCUCAGAAACCGGAUUGCACAGCGGAGAAGGUACGGUGGGAUUCGAGAUGGUCAGUGAUCUGUUUGUUGACUUGGCUUUCGAAGACCUUAGAUAGGCAGGGCAGGAUGGAUAAAGGUCUGUAACAGUUUGGGUCCAGGGUGUCUCCCCAUUUGAAGAGGGGGAUGACCGCGGCAGCUUUCCAAUCCUUGGGGAUCUCAGAUGAUACGAAGGAGAGGUUGAGCAGGCUGGUAAUAGGGGUUGCGACAAUGGCGGCGGACAGUUAAAGGAGAAGCUGGGGAGGCGUGGAGCCGUUGGCUAAUACUUGAAGCACAGCAAAGAGCUGCUGGCAAAUGCAGGAAAGUGCUGUUUGAUUGAAUGCUUACGAGCAUGCUGCUGCCUACCACCACUCAGUCAGACUGCUCUAUCAAAUAUAAAAUCAUUGACUUAAUUAUAAUAUAAUAAACACACAGAAAUACGAGCCUUAGGUCAUUAAUAUGGUAAAAUCCGGAAACUAUCAUUUAGAAAACAAAACGUUUAUUCUUUCAGUGAAAUACGGAACCGUUACGUAUUUUAUCUAGCGGGUGGCAUCCCUAAGUUUAAAUAUUGCUGUUACAUUGCACAACCUUCAAUGUUAUGUCAUAAUUAUGUAAAAUUAAUUACGGUCUUUGUUAGGAAGAAAUGGUCUUCACACAGUUCGCAAUGAGCCAGGCGGCCCAAAUUGCUGCAUAUACCCUGACUCUGCUUUCACAGAACGCAAGAGAAGUGAAACUAUUUCCCUAGUUAAAAGACAUUCAUGUUAGCAGGCAAUAUUAACUAAAUAUGCAGGUUUAAACAUAUAUAAUUGUGUAUUGAUUUUAAGAAAGACAUUGAUGUUUGUGAUUAGGUACACAUUGGUGCAACGACAGUGCUUUUUUCGCGAAUGUGCUUGUUAAAUC
rnacentral:lncRNA from 13 species